rnacentral:rRNA from 1 species
CUCAUGGCAAGCGUUGUCCGGCUUGAGCUUGAUCCUGGCUCAGAUUGAACGCUGGCGGCAGGCCUAACACAUGCAAGUCGAGCGGAAACGAUGGAAGCUUGCUUCCAGGCGUCGAGCGGCGGACGGGUGAGUAAUGCAUGGGAAUCUGCCCGAUAGUGGGGGAUAACCUGGGGAAACCCAGGCUAAUACCGCAUACGUCCUACGGGAGAAAGCAGGGGAUCUUCGGACCUUGCGCUAUCGGAUGAGCCCAUGUCGGAUUAGCUUGUUGGUGAGGUAAUGGCUCACCAAGGCGACGAUCCGUAGCUGGUCUGAGAGGAUGAUCAGCCACAUCGGGACUGAGACACGGCCCGAACUCCUACGGGAGGCAGCAGUGGGGAAUAUUGGACAAUGGGCGAAAGCCUGAUCCAGCCAUGCCGCGUGUGUGAAGAAGGCCCUCGGGUUGUAAAGCACUUUCAGUGGGGAAGAAAGCCUUGGGAUUAAUACUCCCGAGGAAGGACAUCACCCACAGAAGAAGCACCGUG